AAGUGUUACAGCUCUUUUAGAAUUUGUCUGUCAGGUAUUCCAAU
ensembl:snRNA U7 U7 small nuclear RNA